rnacentral:rRNA from 1 species
GAUGAACGCUAGCUACAGGCUUAACACAUGCAAGUCGAGGGGAAACGACAUCGAAAGCUUGCUUUUGAUGGGCGUCGACCGGCGCACGGGUGAGUAACGCGUAUCCAACCUGCCCAUCACUUGGGAAUAACCUUGCGAAAGUAAGACUAAUACCCAAUGAUAUCCCACGAAGGCAUCGGAAUGGGAUUAAAGAUUUAUCGGUGAUGGAUGGGGAUGCGUCUGAUUAGCUUGUUGGCGGGGUAACGGCCCACCAAGGCAACGAUAAGUAGGGGUUUGGAGAGGAAGGUCCCGCACAUUGGAACUGAGAAACGGUCCAAACUCCUACGGGAGACAGCAGUGAGGAAUAUUGGUCAAGGGGCGAGAGCCUGAACCAGCCAAGUAGCGUGCAGGAAGACGGCCCUAUGGGUUGUAAACUGCUUUUAUAAGGGAAUAAAGUGGGUCACGUGUGACUUUUUGCAUGUACCUUAUGAAUAAGGACCGGCUAAUUCCGUG